UAUUUUUGAACCGUUAAGACUGCAAGUUCUUUUUAUAUUUUAACUUAAAGUGGCGAUAUUUAGAGGGAGAUAUCAGUUCAUAAAGGAAGAUCUGUUGGAGAUGCAGGCUAUGUUGGAGAAGAUGAGGAUGAUCGAGAAAGUUUCUUAAGGACAUGGACGAGAUUCUGAGGAAGAAGGAGGAGGAGCUCAAGACGGAGUUGAAGAAGCUUCAGAAGAUAAAGGAGUUUAAUCCUAACAUGGUUUGAGAUUAGCAUCAAGCACAAACACGUGGUUGCUGUUGAGGAUUUUCUGAUCAUUGAUGUAUGUACUACUCAUUUGGUUUCCAAGUCAUUUCUAAGGAGACACGCGAGAGUGAGAGGCCAUGUUCUCAAAUGGGGAAUCAAUAAUGUUCUACGAAAGGUGGUACCAAUGGUGAGGAAAACAUGGAGGAGUUAUUCUUUCUUUCCUUUUUCAGCAGAUAAUUUAUUCACGAUAGGGUGUUGGGAGAGGAGAGCUGCUUUUCGUGAACAAGAAUGUUAUGGAAGCCGCAAAGAUGACAAGAGAAGAGUGGAAGAAGUUUUCAGAUAAACAAAAAGCACCAUACGAAAAGGUGUGGUAUUAAACUGAUCAGGUGUGAUACCUGGAAGCAGUGGAGGAAUACAAAAAGAUGAAGGAAGAAGAGACCAUGAGUCAAAACAAAUAAGAAGAGAGGAGCUCAUGAAACUCCAUAAACAAGAAUCUCUCCAACUGCUUAAGAAGAAGUAGAAAACCAACAUUCUGAUCAAGGCAGAAUCAACAAGUGCCACGAACGAGUCAAUCCUCUAGGUUGCAUUAGACCAUGGGAAGCAAGCAAGAGUGAUAAAGUUGCAUGAGAGAGAAGUGGUGUGUCAGAAAGUUGGUAAUGCAUAUAUAGUCAAGAUCAUCGAGCUAGAGGAUUGGUAAACUAGGAGCUAUAAUAUUUUUCCUUUAAUCUAUUGUCGAAUGAGUAUAUUAAUUUGUUUCACAGAUAUGUAGUUUCAUGAACAAGCUCAUGCAUUGCUAAAAUUACAUUUUGCAUUGUUGAGAUUAUAUGAUCUCCCAACAUAUUUUCAAUCUCAUACAUGUCACAGAUAUGUAGUUUCAUGAGCAA